UACGAAGGGGGGCUAGCGUUGCUCGGAUUGACUGGGCGUAAAGGGCGCGUAGGCGGUUCGUACAGUCAGACGUGAAAUUCCUGGGCUCAACCUGGGGGCUGCGUUUGAUACGUGCGGACUUGAGUGCGGAAGAGGGUCGUGGAAUUCCCAGUGUAGAGGUGAAAUUCGUAGAUAUUGGGAAGAACACCGGUGGCGAAGGCGGCGACCUGGUCCGAUACUGACGCUGAGGCGCGAAAGCGUGGGGAGCAAACAGG
rnacentral:rRNA from 1 species